GUGUAACGCUCAACCUGAAAGGUGUUGGUGGCGGUACCCAACUUUCGCAGUCUGUGACUGUGCCGAGGCGUGGACAAGAGUCU
rnacentral:ribozyme from 1 species